rnacentral:lncRNA from 1 species
UUAAUAUUUGCAGAAAAAAGUAGCUAUCCAUUGCCAAAGCCAACGCCGAGUCACAGGUGUUCUAGGGUUCGUGGUAAGCGUGUUUGCGUGGGAUAUUGAUAUGAAUAAGGUCAAGUUGCUUCCCGUUUAUCUUGUUCUUCAGGCUCCGAUUAUAUUAUAUAAAAGAUGGCUUUGAAUCGUGUGUAUUUGCACUUUGGAAAUUGGAAUUGGAAUUUGUUGUUUGAUGCAAGUGUUUAGAAAAUAAAACAUUUUUGUUUGGAUAUAGAACUGUCCAUGGGUCGGGCGGCCCGGCCCGACCCGACGGCCCGUCCGAAAUAUGGGAGGGUUUGGGUAAAAAUAUAAGUCCGAAAUAUGAGCUUGGGCAAAAAUUUAGGCCCGUUUCGGACAAGAUUUUUUUGGCCCAGGCCCGGCCCAGCCCGAAAAAUAUUAAAUAUAUAUUUUUUAUUUUUAAAAUAUAAUAGUUUUUUAUUUUAAGUUUAUUUACUUUCAUUUCCUUGACUAGUGUUACAAAAUAAUAAUAAUAAAACAUCAAGUUUGUUUUACUAAUCAAAUGUUAGAUUUUGUUACAACAAUUAAUACAAUUAAUACAAUUAAUAAUUUGAUAAAUUUACUAAUCAAAUGUUAGAUUUUAUUACAACAAUUAAUACAAUUAAUAAUUUGAUAAAUUUACUAAUCAAAUGUUAGAUUUUAUUACAACAAUUAAUACAAUUAACAAUUAAUAAUUUGAUAAUUUUACUAACAAUUAAUUUUAAUAACAAUUAGUUUUAAUUUUAUUAAAAUUUUUUUUUAAUUUUAAUUAAAAAUGGGCCGGGCCGGGCCGGGCUCGGGCCCCAUAUUUUUUCUCCGGGCUGGGCCUGGGAAAAAUCUCAGGCCCAUAUUUCGGGCCGGGCCUAGUAAACGGGCUAAAAUUUUUUUGUGGGCCCAGCCCGAACCCAACCCGGCCCGGCCCAUGGAUAGGUCUAUUUGGAUAAGUAGAAGUCUUUAUUUAUGCGUACGUUUAAAUAGCAGUAAUAAAUUAUUUAUUGAAUUCAAUCCUUAUCCAUUACUUAGUUUUUGUUCAAUUUAAUUGUUUUUUAAUAAUUAAAAAAUACUGAUUGAGUCUUAGUUCAAUUAGUAUGAAUAUUGUUAUCAAUACAAGAGGACAUAAGUUCGGAUGCGCUAAAGUGCAUUAUCCUCCUAUUUAUGAGUUGUGGAGGGGCUAUGAGUAAUUUUAGGUUUUGUGUCAAGAAGAGUAAAUAUUAUUGGAACCUAUAAUGAGAUUGUUAAAAAAAAAUUGAAAAAGCACACUAUUGAAAAUCCUAUAAUAAUAACUGUUCUAAUAGAAUUGUGAAACAAAGUGUAGAAUAAUAUUGUAAUUGUUUAGGUGGUUGAGAUAAUAAUUUUAGCUGUGUGGAGAAUGAAUUCACUAAUUAAUUUUUUCAAACAAUGAUUAACCCUUAACUAUGCAAUAACAUAGAUAAAAGUAACCUAAUCAAUGUAUUUGUAACACCUCGAUACCUGAUCCGAUUGUCGGGUCCGAGUUACAAGGUGUCACAUCCACUUUCGGAGCAACUACGACCAAGCUACAUUCAACUUAUAUGGUAAAAUGGUUAAUUUCAACCAAAACAUGCAUACAAUACGAUAGACAACUGUUUUCGAGUCUUAUACAAGCCUACAAAAGCUCUAAAGCUAACCCGAAGUCAAAUUAGGACCAAAUUAUAAAAAUUCUAAAACACUAGGUUGACAUUGUGACGAUAGGGGGUUCCUCGUCACUAUGUCAGGGGGUUCUUCGUCACGAUGUCAGGGGGUUCCUUAUCUUACCUUAUUAGCCCUCAGGCUCAUUAACUGAUUCACAUGGUCUUUCACAUACUAUUAAUAAUCAAAUAUUGUAUAUUUAUAUUCCCUAUUAACAUGACUCGAACUCGAACAAAUACAUGAAUCCUAACCAACACACCAAUUUGAUACCUAGUGUCUCAUCGGAAUGUCUGAAGCAAAUAGAUUGCGCCCAACACUCAUCAGUAUAACCGAAAUAAAAGUUGCACCCUGUAUUCAUUGGAACAUCCGAAGGAAAAUGCACCCAGUGCUCAUCGACAUAUAGCCAAAGUAACCCGUCUAUCCUAUGGCAUGCCAACUAUUUCUGACACUGCCCGAACAAUUAAUAGGGCAACUAAUAAUCCAAUUUCAUUAUAAGUUCAAUUCACAUUCUAUUAAUCUUAAUAUGUCAUUAAUUCACCAUUUCAUCAUUUCAUAUAUCAUGUUUCAGCUUAAUAUCAUAUAUAAGACCAUAAAAUAAGUUAUGCUACUUUUCAUUCUAUUCAAUUUAGUCCUCUAUCUUGAUAAUUCAUCCAAAUCAUAUCAAUUCGAUUCAAUUAACUAUAUUCAACUCAUCUCAGAAUCAUACCAAGCAAAACAUCAUGAAUAUGCAAUAAAUAGAUUGAUUCAAACCAUAGAAAUACAAAUCGAAAACUCGAAUUACUCGUCGUCGGCUCUCGCCUUUCCUUUCCCUUUCGACGGUCCUACACCGUCUUUAGUUACAAAUAAUAAUUCAAUAGUACAAAAUAUCAAAUUCCAUAUCAAAUCACAUUCAAUUAUAAAGUCAUACAAAAUUUUCAAUUUAUUCAAUUUAGUCCCUAAACCCGGGACGAGCAUAACUUUCUAUCUAGACCUUUGGAUUAAAAUUUGAUUUCACAUAUAUUCAUUAGGGACCUUCUACUUUCUAUUAGGGGCAAGGGUGAGCAAAAUCCGAUUCGAUUCGAAAAACUCGAUAAAAAAAUUCAAAUUUUGAAUUAAAUAGUGAGUUAUUUGAGUUAAUUGAGUUAAUUCGAAUAAACUCGAAAAAAAUUAAGUUUUUAGGUUCAACUUGAAUAUGAAUUACACAAUUCGAGUUAUAUGAAAAUCCAAAUAAGAAAAGACAAAACUACGUCGUUUGAUAAAUGUUUACCUUUUCUAAAGUUAAAAGUUAAAACCAUUAAGUUAAAAGGCAAAACCAUUAUGUUGUUUAUAUAGUUAAAUAAUCUUGUACUUCGUCUACUAGUUAAAUAAUCGGUCCAUGUAAACGCAACAUUGAGUAUAAAUAAUAGAAUUCGUUAAAUCGACUCGAAAUUUCUUGGCUCAAUUUGAUUAAAAAAAAUUCAAAUUGAGUUCGGUUGCUAAAAUAGGAUUCGUCAACUCGAAUAACUCAAAAAUUUUUGACUUGAUUCGACUUGACUCGAUCGAAUACCCACCCCUAAUUAGGGGUGUUCAAACUUCGGUUAAAAUCGAAUUAAUCAACUGAACUGAUCUAAUUUGGUUAAUCAGUUGGUUACCUGAUCUAGAUUGGUUAGAGGUUGGUUAAAGAUUUUUUUUUAGAAUUUCGGUUAACGGUUAAUUCAGUUUUAAAUUAGGUAACUAAUUGAAUUAAUUAAACUUAAUAAAUAAUAUUAUAUAUUAUAUGUUAGGGUGUGAAAAACUUGAUUCGAUUCGAAAAAAUAAAAAAAAAAUUGAAUUUCGGGUUAAUUGAAUCGAGUUAUUCGAAUUAUUCGAGUAAACUUGAAUUUCAAGUUCAAAUUGAGUUAAAUUUUACAAUUCGAAUAAUUUGAAUAACAGAUUGGUGUAAAUACUUUUUUGGUCCCUGUCAAGUUUGAAAAUGAGCAAAUUGGUCUCUCUCUCAACAAAGAUUACAAAAAAUUCAAAAUAAAUUUUAAAAUUCAAAAUAUUUAUAAAAAAUCCAAAAUAUAUAUUUAAAAAUUUAUAAAAAUUUCAAAAAAAAUCUAAAAAAUAUAUAAAGUAAGUUAAAAAAUUAAAAAUUUCUAGAAUAAUAAUUUUGGGACCUAAAUAAGUUAAUUAACAAUUCAAGUUUAUCAUACUAAAAUAUUUUUUUAUUAUUUUUCUUUGAAAAAGUUUUCAAAUAUUUUUGGUUUCAAAUUUAUGAGCUCUAACAUGGAAUUAGUUAUACUGUAACAAGAUUUUAAUUUGACAUGUUUAAUUUCACUCGAUUCGACUCAACUUGAUUCGAAAAAGAUUCAAAUCAAGUUAGGAUGAUAAAAUAGGACUCGUCAACUAGAUUAACUCGAAAUUUUUUCACUCGAUUCGAUCGAACGCUUGGCCCUGAUUAGCCCACUGCCCAACCAAACCCCAACCACAGGCCCACCCCCUACCAAUAUAAACCCAACCUAAUCCUAAAAACAAAAAACAAUUUAAUAAUUUAAUAAAAAACCUAAAAGUCCUAGAAAAACACCGAAAUUCCUUAAGACCCUAAUCCUAUUAUGAUUUUUGAUCUCCUAAAAUUGAAAGUCCUUUGAAAUCACCCAAAAUCCCUACUGCCGAUAGCCCAACAUCGGCAACACGCUCAGUGUAACACCUUAAACCCGACCUGCUUUACCGGAUUCGAAUAUAAGUUGUCACCAGAAGUUAAAACACUUAACAUAAAAUUUAGAAUGGGUGAAGAUGUUACUGAACAUACUUCUUACCUAUUUAUUAUUAUUCUAAGCCAUGGGUUCUGAAGAUAAACGUUUAUUUGAUUACAUCUGAUUCUCAAUGAUAGUAUAAGAUAAUAUCACUUAAAACUUUAUUAAAAUAGACCCAAUCAUGGAAUAUAACACCAUUCACUAUUUAAAAACAUAUUCUCAAAUGUGUCCCUCUGUAUGCAUAAUAUUGCUAUUCAAUCAACUACUUUGGUGCGCCCUUGGCUUAUUCCCUUUUGGUGAACUGGUUCAACUUAAUAACCUGCUUUGCAAAUAAGCACCCAUAAGUUCAAUGGAACUUAAUGAGUCCCAAUCAAUAUUACCUUUUAACGUUAUUGUUGAAAUCUUUGACUUUAAGAUUCUGGACUUCCUUUCAAACAUUUGCAAAUACUUUUUUGAUCCCUGGUUGGUGGAUAACCAUACACCAAUCUUUACACUUAACCAUCUUAUACAGACUUCACUCGGUUAGUGGAUUAAAUAUUUUAUACCAAUAUUCAAAUACCAUUACACAAUUUCUUUACAGAUAGUAGUUGGAUACACUUCUCAAAAUGAUACUCAGCGGAUGCUACUCUUGACGGAUUCUUCUACAGGAUUCAGUGAUUAUCAAAACACUAGUUAAAUCGUAUCUUCAAAUUAGUCCAGACAAACAGACUUAUUCAAAAGGAUAUAACAAUUUAAUUAAAGUAAUAGAUUCCUAGAUAUCUUUAAUACAUGACCUAAGAAAUUCCAGGUUUGGUGGAAACUUGCACCACCCAACAUUCCAAAUACACAAAGUUCUCUGUCCUGAUGAUCACUAUGGUGUAUUCCCCAGUCUAUUACACUUGUUUUGAGAAUUCAUUCAGAAAAUGCCUCGAAGGCAUACCCACAUUUCACCAUAUGACUGGUUAAUAACUUGUCAAUUAGACUCAUAUGCUAGAAUUCAAUACACAGGUUUUCUACAUGGCUUGUCACCAAGGCUCUCCAUAUAAGACCCCGCAUAAGAUUUACAAAUUUUGUCAUACAAGCUCUUCAGAUAAUUUCUCAGGAUUUCCAGAUUGCUAUGCCAUUAAGGCUUUCCUCUAUAAUAUGCCACAAAGGCUUUUCAGGUAAUCCAUGUUUACUAUCCCGGCAUACCAUUUUUGUGGAUGCCAUGGGGCUUUUCACAAAUGAAAGAGGAAACUCCUCUCAAACAAAUUGCUGCUGAAGCAGCAAAUGUUUCAAAAAAUAAAGAGAUUGUUUUACACAAACCAAAAUCUCUUUAAAAUGUUUUAAAAGAGACUUCUCUCCAAGAUGUUUUUCAAAAGAGAUAGCAGCGUCUUCACAGAUUGCUACACAAAAAUCUUCACAAUAUUUUCCAAACAAAUAUUUUGAAAAAAUUCUUGUUAUGGAGAAAGAAUUUUCAGAAAAACCUCCACAAAUACUUGCAAAAUAACUUUUCAAUGGAUGACAUUUCAAACUAUUGGAUUCUCAAAAACCCCAACAGUAUUUUGAAAAUAUACUGGUCCAAACAGGAUGAGUAUUGUUCAAACAUUACACAGAUCCAAAAGAUCCAAAUUUUAUUACCCAUUCAACAGCCCAAAUAUUAAAAAUUCUUCGACCAAGGGAUUGGAGUGAAAACCCAAAUUCUCCAAAGAAAUUCCCAGCCAAAUUUGCCACCAAAAUAGUCCAUUACCCAUAUUUUACAUAUUGGGAUUACCAAAUGGCAUGGUACAAUGCCUUCUUAAUGAACAACCAACACAUGAGACAUUCUUGGCUCAUAUAUUUCAAAUAUGACACCCAAUUCAAAUUCCCAAACUGGUUCCAUGAGUGGUGGAAUUGGUAUGGACCAUCAUCAUUUGAGUUACUACCAGAAAAAAUUCAAAACUUAUGGCCCAAAUUCUUUGACAAAUUUCAUCCUAAACCAGAUCAAAAACACAUUUACAGGACAAUCCAUUUUUUCUCAAAACUAUGUAUUUCUUGGAUUGUCUUAGGGAAUUAUUCUUAUGAGCAAGAUCAACAUACUGGAAUUCUAUUAUUAGUUCGCAACUACAGGACUAAAUGGUGGGACAAAUUUAAUGAUUAAAAAUAUGAUUCAAAAUAUUUUGAUAAUUUUUUCAACAAGAAUCCAAGAUUAUGUAAGUCCGCAGCCCCGGAUCAAACCACAGCAAAAUUUCUUCAAGCAAAGUCGAUAGCUAGUGUAAUGUUAGCUCAAGCCAAGACCAAAAAAGAAUACAAAAAACUCAUGGCUGAAAUGCUCAGCUCAUUGGACUCUGAAUCUGAAGAUGAAUCUUCAGCAUCCUCAAUAAAGACGGUGAAUCUUGUAGAUGAUACCACUUCGGUAACCAUCACCAGGUCCAAAAAGAAAUAAUACCAAAAUUGAUGUAUGAAUAUGAGAGAUUCCCUGCAAGAAAUGAUGUGUGAACAUGAGAGAUUCCCUGCAACAAAAUAAUGCGUGAACAUGAAAUAUUCCCUGCAAGAAAUGAUGCGUGAAGAGGAAAGAUUCCCUGCAAGAAAUGAUGUGUGAACAUGAGAGAUUCUCUGUAACAAAAUAAUACGUGAACAGGAAAUAUUCCCUGCAAGAAAAGACAAGAGAAUAGUUCUGUAAUUUGUAUUUUUGUAAUCAGAGAAUAUAUUCUCUGAAAAGUUCUAAUCAAAGUUUCAAAUGUAAUGAUUUCCCAAUUCAGAUAAUGUAAAGAGAGAAUAGCCCUCUAUAAAAGACUAUAGUUUGAGAAUGAAUGACAUAUUUAAAAUUUACCCAUUUGAAUUGUUUCUCCAAAUUUUCCAAAAAGCUUCUUCAAAAUUUAAUUUUAAGUUUCCAAAUUUUCAAAUUAAGUUUUCAAACUUAACUUUUCAAAUUACAAAUAUCUCAUUACCACAAGAUCUCUAUUUAAUAAAAAUAUUUACAAGCUCAAUUUAUGAAAAUGAAGUCCUGAUACUUCAUUUUUCAUAACCACUGGCUUCCGGUACAGACAACUUGUAACUUUAUUAACUGAUCACUUAAUAAAAUCUGUCAAAUCAAAAUCUCAUAUAAUACUAAAAUAAAUUUUUAAAUAUUAUUAAAUAGUAUUUAUAGACUCGACCAUUGAAUAACGGGAUUUCAAAACCAUCAUUUCUGACACUACUACUUUUCGGGUCGUUAAAGAUGAGAUGAAUUUUCUUGUGUUUGUUGCUUGUGUUUAGAUCCUAGACAAAAAUUGAAGUAUAUUAAAUUUGCACUUAGUGAAAUGUCUAGUGCUGAAAAAGCUUAUGAAAUGAUUCAAAAGUUGAAAGAAGCUUUAUAUAAAUUGUUUGAUGAGUGUAAGCCUCCACUUCAUAAUGCUUGUAGCCAAUCGAGUGUGGCAGCACAUAUUUCUCUCGAUGAACCACAACAAAAAAUGAAAGGGUGUAUGCAAGCUUUGUAUAAAAAGCGUGAGUUAGAAAAUGGUGGUGAGGACAAAACAUCUGAAUUAGAUAAAUAUCUAGUUGAGGCUAAUGAGAAUUUUAUUGAAGAUCUUGAUUUUUUAUUGUGGUGAAAAGUGAAUAGCCCUAGAUUUCCCACUCUUUUAAAUAUGGCCAAAGAUGUGUUAGCUAUACUAGUUUCUACGGUUGUUUUAGAGUCUGCAUUUAGCACCGGGGGGCAUGUGCUUGAUCAAUUUAGGAGUUCUUUAACUCUUAAAAUUUUACAAUCUUUUGUGUGUACUCAAGAUUGGAUUCGAAAAUCAUCAUAAAAAAUUGACGUCGAGAAGAUUGAAGAAAGAAUCCAAGAGAUAGACAAUAUUGAAAAUGAUAUAUUUAUUUUUAAUUUAAUAGUUUCAAUUUUUUACCACAUCACUUCUACAUUAACAUAUUUAAUUAUUUCAAUGUUUAGACUUUUCUUGGAAUGCAUCAGAGCCUAUUCUAAAUUCAUGAGCUUUCGUGAAUUGAAGAGUAUGCUUGCUAUCUUAUUCUUGUUAACUUACAAUUGAUUCCUUUGUUUAUAUUAUUUGAUUUUUUGAAAUGCAUAUAUUACUACUAUAUGCUCAUUUUUUGCACCUAUUUUGUAGGUAUAAUGCAAAUGGAGAUAUUUUAGAGAGAAGAAAUGGAUGUAAAUGGAGAAUAUUAAAGACAAAACAUUUUAAUUAUGUGAUAAUUUCAAGACUUAUGUAGUGUUUUUAAUAUGUAGUGUUUCAAGACUUAUAAUUUGGUUAAUUUGGUUAAUUCGAUCAAAUGAAC